rnacentral:rRNA from 1 species
ACGGGGAGCAGCAGGCGCGAAAACUUCCCAAUGCUCGAAAGAGUGACGAGGGGAUCCUGGGUGGCAUCGCAAUGCGGUGCCUUUUGUCCACUGUAAAAAGGUGAAUGAAUAAGGGGUGGGUAAGACGGUUGCCAGCCGCCGCGGUAAUAACCGCGCCCCAAGUAGUAGUCACGUUUAUUGGGCCUAAAGCGUCCGUAGCCGGUUUGUUAAGUCUCUGGUGAAAUCCGUUAGUAAACUAACGGAAGGGCUGGAGAUACUAUCAGACUCGGGACCGGGAGGGGUCGAAAGUAUUCCACGGGUAAGAGUAAAAUCUUUUAAUCCGUGGAGGACUACCUGUGGCGAAGGCGUUCGACUGGAACGGGUCCGACGGUGAGGGACGAAAGCGUGGGGAGCAACUGGGAUUAGAUACCCCAUUAGUCCACGCUGUAAACGAUGCCCUUUUGGUGUCGCACAAUCUUCGAGAUUCUGCGGUGCCGUAGCGAAGGUGUUAAAAGGGCCGCCUGGGAGUACGAUCGCAAGAUUGAAACUUAAAGGAAUUGGCGGGGGAGCAC